rnacentral:rRNA from 1 species
CGGCCACAUUGGGACUGAGACACGGCCCAAACUCCUACGGGAGGCAGCAGUAGGGAAUCUUCCACAAUGGACGAAAGUCUGAUGGAGCAACGCCGCGUGAGUGAUGAAGGUUUUCGGAUCGUAAAACUCUGUUGUAAGGGAAGAACAAGUACGUUAGUAACUGAACGUACCUUGACGGUACCUUAUUAGAAAGCCACGGCUAACUACGUGCCAGCAGCCGCGGUAAUACGUAGGUGGCAAGCGUUGUCCGGAUUUAUUGGGCGUAAAGCGCGCGCAGGUGGUUUCUUAAGUCUGAUGUGAAAGCCCACGGCUCAACCGUGGAGGGUCAUUGGAAACUGGGAGACUUGAGUGCAGAAGAGGAAAGUGGAAUUCCAAGUGUAGCGGUGAAAUGCGUAGAGAUUUGGAGGAACACCAGUGGCGAAGGCGACUUUCUGGUCUGUAACUGACACUGAGGCGCGAAAGCGUGGGGAGCAAACAGGAUUAGAUACCCUGGUAGUCCACGCCGUAAACGAUGAGUGCUAAGUGUUAGGGGGUUUCCGCCCCUUAGUGCUGCAGCUAACGCAUUAAGCACUCCGCCUGGGGAGUACGGCCGCAAGGUUGAAACUCAAGAAAAU